ACUACUUUCCAAGGCUCUUCAUUCCUGCAGGUGCCGGUCGUAGUAUUGCCGCACCUUUCAGCACCUUCACUCUGCUUCGCUGAUGGCGUGAUCCUGGCAGAAGGCAGACUGCUGCUAACCUUGGAAUUAUGUUGGUUUCUCGUGUCGGUCUUUUAUCGCUACCCGUGACAAAGGACUGAGCUGGCUCCAGCAGACUGAUUUCCAAGGCUAUCUGUUCCAGGUGGAAUCGGUCGUAGUAUUGCCACACCUUUCGGCACCUUCGCACUGAUUCGCAGAUGGCAUCGACCUGGCUGAAAGCAGGCAGACUGCUACUACCCUUAGAAUUCUGUUUGUAGAUGCCACAUUCAAUAGACUGUUACUGUGUCUGUGUUUACAUGUGCUUAACAAUCCAACUGCGGGUUGUUGCAACGUCCAAGUGUCAUUCUUUUAUCACUACCCGUGACAAGAACAGAGCUGGCUUCUGCAGACUGCUUCCAAAGCUAUUCGUUCCCGAGAUAAACUGUGGCGUCCGUUGUCGUUUGGUGACAUCUUCCAGUACCUUCGCACUGCUUCACAGAUGGCGUGUACUUAGAAAGCAGACUGCUAAUACCCUUAGGAUUCUGUUUGUAGGUGCCACAUUCAUUAGACCGUUACUGUGACUGUGUUUACAUGUGCUUAACAAUCGCACACGGUGUCGCUCAUGCUGUGAAGUUAUACAUGAGCAUACAAGCGUCAAUUACAUGACUAUAACGUGACUAACACCAAAACUAUACAAAAUGCAAGCUCUUGGCACGAUUCAAUCUUUCGAAAUUUGUUGCCAUCAUAGACGCUAUGCCCCAUCUGGCAUCAUUUUGCAUGCUUUGUCGAGGUGGGGGAGCGUGGAUCUUUGCCAAGUAAAACUGUCGUGGCAGCUGUUUAUACAUCGACUGUUCCUUACCUGAGGCUUUAUUCAUCGCGUUAAUUGCCUCAGAGGCCAUGAUUACUUUCAGUAAUUUAAAUAUGUACAGUUAUUGCAUUGACUGUAUAGCCGUUAUUGCUUUCAUGACCAGUAAGCUUGAAUAGACGUUAGCACAUUGCUUGAAAAGCCAAUAAAAAUGUCCUGAGCCCUGUCAGUUCCACUGGGAAGAGGCACUUAGGAGCUCCAAGUUCCAACAUCAAGGCAGUCCAGAGGGCCCAAGUACUGGUGGAACGCCACCAUGGUCCCGCCCAGACUCGGGCGUCGCCCACAGUAGUGGCUGCUAGGAUGUCUCUCGUGGACACCUUGGUGGCUUAAAACUGUUCAGGACCUUUUAAUAAAGUUCUUGACUGACUGA